UACGUAGGGUCCGAGCGUUGUCCGGAAUUACUGGGCGUAAAGAGCUCGUAGGUGGUUUGUCGCGUUGUUCGUGAAAACUCACAGCUCAACUGUGGGCGUGCGGGCGAUACGGGCAGACUGGAGGUAUGCAGGGGAGAACGGAAUUCCUGGUGUAGCGGUGGAAUGCGCAGAUAUCAGGAGGAACACCGGUGGCGAAGGCGGGUCUCGUGGGCCGUAACUGGACGCUGAGGAGCGAAAGCAUGGGGAGCGAACAGGA
rnacentral:rRNA from 1 species